GGCCAUAUCUCUCGCUUUCGCCAUGCUUUGAAAGCGUGGCCGUAUCUCACAUAUGGCCACGCUUUAAAAGCGUGGCCGUAUCUCACACAUACGGCCACACUUUUAAACGUGGCAAUCUAUAAAAAGCGUGGCGGAAAAAAAGCGUGGCAAUAGGUCACCAAAAGCGUAGCGAUAGAGCAACCGCCACGCUUACAGACGCUACCCUUUCAAAAGUAUGGCGGUAGCUCAAAAAGCAUGGCAAAAAGCUAUCACCACACUUUUUUCAGCUUUUCGCCACUCUUUAAAAGCGUGACAAUAGAGCUGUUUUCUUGUAGUGACAGGAGCAAGG